GACGAACGCUGGCGGCGUGCCUAACACAUGCAAGUCGAGCGAUGAAGUUCUUCGGAACGGAUUAGCGGCGGACGGGUGAGUAACACGUGGGUAACCUGCCUUGUAGAGGGGGAUAGCCUUCCGAAAGGAAGAUUAAUACCGCAUAACAUCUUUUUAUCGCAUGGUAGAAAGAUCAAAGGAGUAAUCCGCUACAAGAUGGACCCGCGGCGCAUUAGCUAGUUGGUGAGGUAACGGCUCACCAAGGCGACGAUGCGUAGCCGACCUGAGAGGGUGAUCGGCCACAGUGGAACUGAGACACGGUCCAGACUCCUACGGGAGGCAGCAGUGGGGAAUAUUGCGCAAUGGGGGAAACCCUGACGCAGCAACGCCGCGUGAAUGAAGAAGGCCUUAGGGUUGUAAAGUUCUGUUUACGGGGACGAUAAUGACGGUACCCGUGGAGGAAGCCACGGCUAACUACGUGCCAGCCGCCGCCGUAA
rnacentral:rRNA from 1 species